rnacentral:tRNA from 2 species
CGCGGGGUGGAGCAGCCAGGUAGCUCGUCAGGCUCAUAACCUGAAGGUCCUCAGUUCAAAUCUGAGCCCCGUAACCA